UACGUAGGGUGCAAGCGUUGUCCGGAAUUAUUGGGCGUAAAGAGCUCGUAGGCGGCUUGUCGCGUCGACUGUGAAAACCUGGGGCUUAACUCCGGGCCUGCAGUCGAUACGGGCAAGCUAGAGUUCGGUAGGGGAGACUGGAAUUCCUGGUGUAGCGGUGAAAUGCGCAGAUAUCAGGAGGAACACCAGUGGCGAAGGCGGCUGACUGGACAUGUAUUGACGCUGAGGUGCGAAAGCGUGGGGAGCAAACAGG
rnacentral:rRNA from 1 species